GACGAACGCUGGCGGCGUGCCUAACACAUGCAAGUCGAACGAAGCAUAGCAAUAUGCUUAGUGGCGGACGGGUGAGUAACGCGUGAACAAUCUGCCCUGUACAAAGGAAUAGCCUCGGGAAACCGGGAUUAAAACCGUAUGACACUUUAGUAUCGCAUGAUAAGAAAGUCAAAUCGAAUAGAGGUAUGGGAUGAGUUCGCGUCUGAUUAGCUGGUUGGCGGGGUAACGGCCCACCAAGGCGACGAUCAGUAGCCGGCCUGAGAGGGUGAACGGCCACACUGGAACUGAGACACGGUCCAGACUCCUACGGGAGGCAGCAGUGGGGAAUAAUUGCACAAUGGAGGGAACUCUGAUGCAGCGACGCCGCGUGAGUGAAGAAGGUCUUCGGAUCGUAAAACUCUGUCCUUGGUGAAGAAAAGGACGGUAGCCAAGGAGGAAGCCCCGGCUAACUACGUGCCCAGCAGCCGCGGUAAAACCGUAGACGUG
rnacentral:rRNA from 1 species